AUUGCCCCACUUGUUCCUACAAAUUGGUCUGCAGCCAAACCUCUUUAGAAAUAUCUAAAAAGGCCGGGACCUUUGGAGUUCUACUAUUUACUACAAAUCAUUAAGGCAGGGGGAGAAGAUGUCAUCAUUGCAAGUGUGCACGGAAUGAGACUUCUUGGAUAUAUAUAAAUACAGGGAUUCCAUCACUGGGGAGCAUUGGGAGACUGGACACAACCAAAAGCAUCAGCACCAAAUCACACUAUCUGCAUGAUGAAGGCUGCAGCUGUGCUGUUCCUCCUCCUAGGACUCUAUUGCUGCUUCUUUGCCUCAGAUGCUCAUCAUUCCUAUGAGCCACGGGUUGACUGCAGUGCUUAUAUGAAGCUUUCCGACAGGACCAAACCUAAAGGAUGCACCCUGGAGUACUUCCCAGUAUGUGGUUCCAAUGGCCAACAUACACCAACAAAUGUCUCUUUUGCAGAGCAGCCAUAGCAAGUCAAGGGAAGAUCCAUUUUAAGCAUUAUGGGAAAUGCUGAGUCAUUGCCGCACACGGUCUAUGGAGGCGUGUUCCGUUCAUCUCUGGCAGCUCUGCCUUGCUCUUUUCAACUCAUCCUGCCGCAUCCUAAUCCACUCAAGCUUUUGUUCUUUUCAAGUUUCUCCUGAUCUGUUGAUUUAAAAUAAAGACCUCCCAGUCUUA